rnacentral:rRNA from 1 species
UACGUAGGGCGCAAGCGUUGUCCGGAAUCAUUGGGCGUAAAGAGCUCGUAGGUGGUCUGUUACGUCUGCUGUGAAAACUCGGGGCUCAACCCCGAGCCUGCAGUCGAUACGGGCAGACUAGAGUGCGGUAGGGGAGACUGGAAUUCCUGGUGUAGCGGUGAAAUGCGCAGAUAUCAGGAGGAACACCGGUGGCGAAGGCGGGUCUCUGGGCCGUAACUGACGCUGAGGAGCGAAAGCGUGGGGAGCAAACAGG